GCCUGGGUGGCUCAGCAGUUGAGCGCCUGCCUUUAGCUCAGGGCGUGAUCCUAGAUUCCUGGGUUCAAGUCCCACGUCGGGCU
rnacentral:tRNA from 1 species